CCCUUAGAUGUCCGGGGCUGCAUGCGCGCUACACUGAAGGAAUCAGCGUGCUAAAACCAUUGUCGAAAGGCAUUGGUAAACCCAUUAAAAUCCUACGUGAUUGGGAUCGGGAAUUGCAAUUAUUUCCCUUGAACGAGGAAUUCCCAGUAAGUGUGGGUCAUAAGCUCGCGUUGAUUACGUCCCUGCCCUUUGUACACACCGCCCGUCGCUGCCCGGGACUGAGCCGUUUCGAGAAAAGCGGGGACUGCUGCUGUCGGGGCUUUCGGGCCUUGGCUUCGGUGGAAACCGCUUUAAUCGCAGUGGCUUGAACCGGGCAAAANUCGUANCA
rnacentral:rRNA from 1 species